rnacentral:rRNA from 1 species
UACGUAGGGGGCGAGCGUUGUCCGGAUUCAUUGGGCGUAAAGCGCGCGCAGGCGGCCGGCAGAGCCCGGCGUGAAAGCUCCCAGCUUAACUGGGAGAGGUCGUCGGGGACCUGGUGGCUAGAGGCCGGUAGGGGUGAGCGGAAUUCCCGGUGUAGUGGUGGAAUGCGUAGAGAUCGGGAGGAACACCGGUGGCGAAGGCGGCUCACUGGGCCGGUCCUGACGCUCAGGCGCGAAAGCGUGGGGAGCGAACAGG